rnacentral:misc_RNA from 1 species
CUUCAGUCUCUUCUGAGCCUCAUAACAUGAAUUGGAACUUCUUUCUCACUCUUAGAUUUUACAUCAUAUCCUCAGGCAUUGAUUCUGCAGGAAUGAUUUCGAUUCUUUUACUUUCUGGCAAUGAUGGUGUUGGUGCCGGUUCAUCAGGUAGAGCAGCACUCAGCAUAACAAGAUUUGGAGAGUGUCACGGAGCAACUCAAGAACAACUGCCCUAUCAAGACAAAGUUAAGCAGCAAGGCUUUUGAUCUGAAGAAAAUAAGAGAAACUUCAUUUUAGAAGCCAGAACAUAUAGCCGAUGGAACUUAAUUCAGUUAAAUAUUCACCCUCGUCACUGCAUUUCCAAGUUCUCGAGCUCAAAUUGCUAUUUAAACCUACAAAUGUGGAGUAAGAUACACUAGUUUUGCGUCGUCCAUUUUUCAAAGCACGAGCCAGCCUUCAUAGCUGCCAAUUCUUAAGUUUUACAAGUCUUUCCUCCUCUUCUUCUUUAUCAGCAUUGCCAUCUUCAAAACCAUCAACAGCUGAGCUAAGUAUUUCAACGUCGUCAUCAUCAGUAACUCAUAACGCGUUCUCCAAUGCACCUUGAAGUUUAUCAAAGUCUGCUCCACUUAUAUCAUCAUCAUCAUCAAUGAAUGAUUCACCAUUCGUAAAGGUCUUCUUCCAGCAUGGUGAAGAGUGCCUCAAAGGCAUCUUCAACCAUAUCAUCUUCCUCCUGCUUUACAUCCUCAAGAGACGAACUUUUCUACAAGGAACGAGAAAGGGGAAAUUUUUAUUUCAAUACAGCAGCAAUUUCAUUCACCUCUGAUGAACUGAAGAUUAUGCAAAUUCUUGAACAAACUUCAAGACUUACAUAAUCAAGACCAAAAUUGGAACUUUGUAAGCAAUAGCAAGUGUUAUUGUCAGUAGCGAAGCAGUAGACUCCAAAUUAGGUUAAUUUAAUU